rnacentral:rRNA from 1 species
AACGAACGCUGGCGGCAUGCCUAACACAUGCAAGUCGAACGAGACCUUCGGGUCUAGUGGCGCACGGGUGCGUAACGCGUGGGAACCUGCCCUUAGGUUCGGAAUAACUCCCCGAAAGGGGUGCUAAUACCGGAUAAUGUCUUCGGACCAAAGAUUUAUCGCCUUUGGAUGGGCCCGCGUUGGAUUAGCUAGUUGGUAGGGUAAAAGCCUACCAAGGCGACGAUCCAUAGCUGGUCUGAGAGGAUGAUCAGCCACACUGGGACUGAGACACGGCCCAGACUCCUACGGGAGGCAGCAGUGGGGAAUAUGGACAAUGGGCGAAAGCCUGAUCCAGCAAUGCCGCGUGAGUGAUGAAGGCCUUAGGGUUGUAAAGCUCUUUUACCCGGGAUGAUAAUGACAGUACCGGGAGAAUAAGCUCCGGCUAACUCCGUG